ensembl:lncRNA
GUUGGGUUGGUGGCACUGUGGGGUUGCAUUGGGGGCACUGCAUGGUGGUUGGGGUUGGGUUGGUGGUACUGUGUGGUUGGGGUUGGGUUGGUGGCACUGCGUGGUUGGGGCUGGUGUGGUGGCACCAUGUGGUUGGGUGGGUGGCACUGUGGGGUUGGGUUGGUGGUACCACAUGGUUGAGGACCAGAGGCCACACUCCCACCCAGGGCCACCCACCGCCUUCCCAUGGAGGGAAACCACAGUGAAGGCUCCUGCAACGUCUCAGGACACACAGGACCAACUCUCAGUCCUUUCAGGACGGGAUUUGUCCCUUUUGGGUCACGAAAGACCUUUCCAUUCCUUUGGUUAAAAACAACCAAGGAGAAGCUACAGCACUCAAACCUGAUUUUGUACUUUUUAUCCCUGCUUUGUGACAGCAAAUGAGGAUCAAAAUAGAGCAUCGUGUGGGUGGGUGUAGAUUUAAAUAGCAAAUGGGCACACGGCCGGUGCCAUCCGUCCACCGCAGCACCGCACGGAGCAAUGCCCUGAGCACAGCUGGGCACAUCCCAGCCCUUCACACAGAUCACAGCCUGCAGGAUGCUGCCAUCUCCCCACGGCUAGGGGGACAACAUAGAACCACUGAAUCACA